rnacentral:miRNA from 1 species
UCAAAACAAGUACCUGCCCAUU